rnacentral:rRNA from 1 species
AGAGCGAACGCUGGCGGCGUGCUUAACACAUGCAAGUCGAGUGCGCGGUAUAGCAAUAUACUGGCGCACGGCGCACGGGUGAGUAACACGUGGGUAACCUGCCCUCCAAAAGGGGAUAACCCCGCGAAAGCGGGGCUAAUACCGUAUGACAUUCCGAUGGUUUCGGCUGUUGGAAUCAAAGGCCGCAAGGCCGUUGGAGGAGGGGCCCGCGCCCGAUUAGCUUGUUGGCGAGGUAAUGGCUCACCAAGGCUUUGAUCGGUAGCCGGUCUGAGAGGAUGGCCGGCCACACUGGAACUGAGACACGGUCCAGACUCCUACGGGAGGCAGCAGUGGGGAAUCUUGCGCAAUGGGCGAAAGCCUGACGCAGCGACGCCGCGUGGGGGAUGAAGCUUCUCGGAGUGUAAACCCCUUUCGACCCGGACGAAACGCCCGCAAGGGCUUGACGGUACGGGUAUAAGAAGCCCCGGCUAACUACGUGCCAGCAGCCGC